CAGGAUGGCGGCCCCGGUGCACCCCGGCGCGCCGCACUCUGUGAAGUUGGACACGCGUAACAAUCAGAGUGGCAGCCGGGCUGUGGGCUCACCCUCCUUCCCUGGAGGGACAGCGGCUCGCCCAACGCUGCUCGCCGCCUCCUGGGGCGCCCAGUUCUCUUUCCAAGCGAGGGAUCCCGCGAUUAGACUGGAACUCUGGAAGGAGAUGCAUUUGCAAGUCACAAGAAACAUUAUGGCAACAUAGCAGUAUCUUGUUUCAUUGGUAGGGAAGAGGCCAAAGGUCUUGAGAAUGGAGCCCUGAGGAUGCACAGCUGUUAACCAGCAGCCACGGUAUAGGUCAGAAGUAGCUGCCUUCCCAUAGUGCAGGAGUCCUCAAGUUGACCUCCAUGAGGAAACUGGAGCAAUGCAUUAUUUUGAAUGGAUCUCAACUCAAACCAACACCCUCUUCUGGACUCUGCAGGUACUGCAGAAUGUGCACUUACCUAUUACACACAGACUUAACAGUAAAAUCUUCUAAGGAAUAAAGAAAAAUCCUACAUAAGAUACGUGUCUAUAAAAAUUAACAUCAUUUCUUGGCCCCCCAAAAAUAUUACUUGGGAAGUACCAGCUCCCAUUGGUACUGUAAAACUCUUAGGUCUUUCGAGAGUCCAGGACGGC
ensembl:lncRNA